rnacentral:rRNA from 1 species
UACGUAGGGACCAAGCGUUGUUCGGAUUUACUGGGCGUAAAGGGCGCGUAGGCGGUCCGUUAAGUCAUGUGUGAAAUCCCCCGGCUCAACCGGGGAAUUGCGCAUGAUACUGGCGGGCUAGAGAUCGAUAGGGGUGAGCGGAACUCCAGGUGGAGCGGUGAAAUGCGUAGAUAUCUGGAGGAACACCGGUGGCGAAAGCGGCUCACUGGAUCGAAACUGACGCUGAGGUGCGAAAGCUAGGGUAGCAAACGGG